UACGUAGGGGGCGAGCGUUGUCCGGAUUUAUUGGGCGUAAAGAGCUCGGUAGGCGGUUUGGUAAGUCGGGUGUGAAAUCUUCCACGCUCAACGUGGAGGGGCCACUCGAUAACUGCCAUGACUCGAGUCCGGUAGAGGAGUGGUGGAAUUCCCGGUGUAGCGGUGAAAUGCGCAGAUAUCGGGAAGGAACACCCGUAGCGAAGGCGGCACUCUGGGCCGGAACUGACGCUGAGGAGCGAAAGCGUGGGGAGCAAACAGG
rnacentral:rRNA from 1 species